rnacentral:rRNA from 1 species
UACGUAGGUGGCAAGCGUUGUCCGGAAUUAUUGGGCGUAAAGCGCGCGCAGGCGGUUCUUUAAGUCUGAUGUGAAAGCCCACGGCUCAACCGUGGAGGGUCAUUGGAAACUGGGGAACUUGAGUGCAGGAGAGAAGAGUGGAAUUCCACGUGUAGCGGUGAAAUGCGUAGAGAUGUGGAGGAACACCAGUGGCGAAGGCGACUCUUUGGCCUGUAACUGACGCUGAGGCGCGAAAGCGUGGGGAGCAAACAGG